rnacentral:lncRNA from 1 species
CGGGCGGGGGCGCAGGCCUCGCUGGGCGGGGAGCCGCGAGCAGAGUCGUGGGUCCGUCCCGCGCUUGGCUUCCGCGCGCUGCCUCCCUGCGCGGAGGCUCUGGGCUCCCCCUAAGCUAUCAAACGCGAACAGUUGGCGCUGAAAACACUUUACUCCUCCUCCUCCUCCCCCGAGACCCUUAUACCUCCCCGUGCGCCAUCUCCCGCUCCCGGAACAGGCCGAAGAGUAAACCCCCAAACGCGACGAGAAGCGGCACCCAACUCUUCACCCGGAGCAGGUUGGAGGCUGGAUUUCGCAGAGACUCAGGACUGGGAUCCGUUGCCAGUCCCUCUGGAUCCGGCUUGAUUUUCAUAUUUAAAAAGAGGAUUUUCUUAUUACCUUUGAACACUCAUUUUUAUACAAUUUCUGGAGGAGCUCAGGGGGAACGAUUUUAGGAGAUCUUAUUUUAACAACAACAAAAGCACUGAAGGAGCAUUUAUUAAUUUUCCUUGGGAUUUGGAGUCCCCCUCUGGACGAGAGACCGAGUAAGCGAGCUGGGGGUGGGAAGAAGAGUGCAGAGGACCGGCGAGGCGCGCCAGCCUGAACCACCUCCUUCUCGGCCGCCCCCUCCCCACUCCCCCGACACGCUCGCUCGCCGGCGCGCGCACACCCCCCGCGCCGGACCCGCACCUCGGCGGGCGCCACACACUCGGCAGCCCGAGCCACGGUAGCCGCAGCGGGAUGGAGGCGGCGCGCACGGAGCGCCCCACAGGCUGGCCAGGGGCGCCCCUCGCCCGGACAGGGCUUCUACUCCUGUCAACGUGGGUCCUGGCCGGUGCCGAGAUCACUUGGGGCUCAACGGGCGGUCCCGGGCGCCUCACGGCUUCUCGGUCACCGGCGUUGCCUCCUCUGUUGCCGCGGGCAGUGGCGAACCAGUGGCCGGAGGAGCUGGCGACGGCGCGGAGACCCGCCGCGCUGGGGCGCCGGUCCAGACCAGAGCUGCCGCCCCAGUCUCGGGGCAUUGAGAUGCAGGUUGGAGCCGAGGGUACGUCGCCUGAAGGCGCGCGGUGGGUCCAGGGCAUCCCGGCUCCUGGCAAGCCUGGCGGCACGAGGAGGAGUCGCCGGGCACAGCCCCCCAGCGCCCUGGAGCGCGGGGACGCCCGGGCUACGGCUUCUGCCGAAGGUUCCAAAGGAAGCCGCCCUCUGGCUAAAGGUUCCCGGGAGGAGGUGAAGGCCCCUCGGACUGGGGGAUCAGCGGCUGAAGAGCUCCGACUGCCUAGCACUUCUUUCGCGCUGACCGGGG